rnacentral:lncRNA from 1 species
CUGCUCCCCUCCCCUCCUCCGGCGCAGACCCUCCCCUCUCCCCUCCAGCCUGGACACGCCCGCCUCCCCUUGACUCCCCCCAGCUCUGGGCCCCCACCUCCCCUCCCCUCCAGCACAGUCACCCCCAUUUCUCUCCUAUCCGCCAUCCUGGUUCCUCCCUUCCCCCCACCUCCCAACUCUGUGCCCCGCCAACGUUUCCUAAAUGCCCUCUAUUCAGAUCCCCCCUCCGCCUCCCCUCUCCUCUCCUCCAUUCCUGCGUCCCCCUUCCCCCGCCGCGCCGCCUGGGCUGUCCGUGGACUUCUCCCACUCUCUCACUCUCUCACUCACUCUCUCUCUCUCUCUCUCUCUCUCACUCUCUCUCUCUCUCUCCCCCUCAUUUAUUUGGAACCGUUGGAUAAGAAGUGCUCGGGCUCUCGCUCAGACUUAGGGAGCUGCCUCGAGGUGAUGAAUGACACCCCCUGGCACCAGCUACCCUUCUCAGACCCCAGUCCAGCCCGCUCCCGACGUCGACUACGAUUCCGCUACCUCGGCUGGCAGCGAGGUUGGGGUGAGCCCCAGCUGCAGGCGCGUCUGGGCUGCGCCGCUGCAAACGAGUUGCGCACCUUGGGCGGCUCCGCACCUGCACCCGCACCCGCGGGGCUCAGCCCCGAAGGCUGCAGCUUCGGGGGAGGCGCGGUCGCCGAGGUCCAGCUGGUGGGGCGAGAGACGUCGCCCCUCGGAGGAUGCUCUCGGAACUUGGGAGAGGAAGGAGGGAAGAGAAGAGGGGAAAGGGGCCGUCGAUGUUUUUGAUGUCUGUGCUUUAAUGGAGGCCACCAAUAUUGAGAAGACGGGGUUGGCCGAGGCAGCCCGCACGCUGCUGCUUGCGAGCGCUCGAGUCAAAGCUAGGGCCAACCGCGGCUUGUCCGGGUGCCCUAAGGGGGCGGACACUUGGUUUAGCACCGGGACACAGAAUAGCCACCGGGGUAGGAAGAUGCGUUCACUUUGCUUACCUGUUGGCAAGAGGGACAUACAAAAAUAACGUAACGUGACAUCGUUGACAACGGUAGCUCUUUGAUUACACAAAAGCCAAUUUUACCUUCCCGCAAAAGCCAGUUGACGCCUUUGGAACUUUUAUUUGCGGCAUUUUGGCGCCCUCUGGCUGUGUUUGGAUCGCUUUCAUGCUCGCCUGCGUCCCAGCCAAGAAAAAAUCGAUGGAGCUGCAGGUUGUCCUCAGGAUGGUUCUGCCCUCAGGACCUGGGCGUGAAUUCAGGGACAGGGUGGCCCUCCAGAACCGGAGUGACAAACUGUAACCAUACUUAGGGAGGCAGACGUCAAAGGCAAGUACAUCUGUAUUCAACUGGGUAAAGGCCAUGUGAAGACGUGCCUGCCUCCCUGUUACCUUCCACCAUGAUUGUAAGCUUCCUGAGGCCUCCCCAGCCAUGCCUGCUGUAUAGCCUGCAGAACAGGUUUCAGUCGAUUUGAUUAUAAAGCAAAGGUUUGGGAAGAAAGACUCAUAUUCCUCCUGAGAUGCAACCUCAAGUCUUAGGAAAAGAAAGUUUUGAACUCAGGUUCCGGGAAUGUGGAAGAGGAAGCUCUUAAAGGGCAAGUAGACUUUGCAACAUGCUCGUUUUCAGGAUUCUCCUCCUUUGUCCUCAACCCUGCCCAGUGUUCCCCUAACUCCACCUAAGCCACUCCAUAAAGUUAGGUCCCAUUCCUCUAUUCCUUCACUACUAAUGACAGCUAAUAGAGCUAAACAGAAUACCACAAUAAGCCAGAAGCUGCCUUUUUUUAUUAUUAUUAUUAUUCAUUGCCCAAUUUGUAGAACUCUCUGAAUUCAAUUAAAGUUUGGCAAAGCCUGUGCAAAUGAAACCAAGUACCUAUUUUUUGCUCAUCAUAAACCCAAAAGUUUUCUAGAGAACUAACUGAAAGAGAUUUUCACCAAAUCUUUUUAUUUUUUUAAUCUAGAGAAUACAAUUGAGAACCAAAUCAAUAAAUAUCCUCAACUGUUACCUUUGUUAUAAGGGAACUACGAUGAACCGUGCUUGCCCCACAUUUACCCUAGCAGCAACUAUGCUUUUUCUAUCUCUGGCCUUACCCUGCCUUCCUGCCUCCAGAGUCUGAGAUGGAGAAAGGCAAAGUCAGAUGGAGGAUAGAGCUGGGCAGGGAGUUGCUGCCAGCAACAAUUGGAGUUGCUGGUUUGCUUUCAACACUGACCCCACUUUAUUGGCCAUGAGUUAAGGCAGUCAAAUGGGCAUCUAGGAAACAUGACCAAGAUCUGCAUUAGGGAAGCAAAGCAGAUUAAAAGGCACAAUUGCUGGCCAGGCAUGGUGGCUCACACCUCUAAUCCUAGUGAGAGGUGAAGCCAGUUGGACUUCCUGGGUCGAGUGGGGUGGGGUCUUGGAGAAAUUUUCUAUCUAGCUAGAGGAUUAUAAAUGCACCAAUCAGCUCUGUGUCUAGCUAAAGGUUUGUAAACGCACCAAUCAGCACUCUGUAAAAACGCACCAAUCAAUGCUCUGUGUCUAGCUGAAGGUUUGUAAAUGCACCAAUCAGCACUCCGUAAAACGGACUGAUCAGUGCUUUGUAAAAUGGACCAAUCAGCAGGAUGUAGGCAGGGCCAAAUAAGGGAAAAAAAGCUGGCACCCAAGCCAACAGGGGCAACCUGCUUGAGUCCCUUUCCACAUUGUGGAAGCUUUGUUCCUUCACUCUUCAUGAUAAAUCUUGCUGCUGCUCACUCUUUGGGUCCGCACUACCUUUAUGAGCUGUAACACUCACCACGAGGGUCUGUGGCUUCAUUCCUUAAGUUAGCAAGACCACGAACCCACAGGGAGGAACAAACAACUCCGGGCACACCACCUUUAAGAGCUAUAACACUCACUGCGAAGGUCUGUGGCUUCACUCCUGUAGUCAGCAAAACCACAAACCCACCGGAAGGAAGAAACUCCAGACACAUCUAAACAUCUGAAGGAACAAACUCUGGACACACCAUCUUUAAGAACUGUAACACUCACCGUGAGGGUCCGUGGCUUCAUUCUUGAAGUCAGGGAGACCAAGAACCCACCGGAAGGAACAAACUCCGGACACACUAGCACUUACAGGAGGCCCAGGUGGGAAGAUCACUUGAGGCCAGGAGUUUGAGACCAGCCUGGGCAACGUAGUCAGACCCCAUCUCUACAAAAAAAUUUAAAAAAUUAGCCGAGCAUGGUGGCAAGUGCCAGUAAUCCCAGCUACUCUUGGAGGCUGAGGCAGGAAGAGCCCUUGAGCCCAGGAGCUGGAGGCUGCAGUGAACUAUGAUCAAACCACUGUAGUCCAGCCUGAGUGACAGAGUGAGACCCUGCCUCUA